rnacentral:tRNA from 1 species
GCGGGCGUAGCAUAACUGGUAAUGCGGCGGUCUCCAAAACCGUAUAGUGUGUGUUCGACUCGCACCGCCCGUGCCA